rnacentral:rRNA from 1 species
GACGUAGGGCGCGAGCGUUGUCCGGAUUUAUUGGGCGUAAAGAGCUCGUAGGCGGCUUGUCGCGUCGACUGUGAAAACCCGGCGCUCAACCGCGGGCCUGCAGCCGAUACGGGCAGGCUAGAGUUCGGGUAGGGGAGACUGGAAUUCCUGGUGUAGCGGUGAAAUUCGUAGAUAUUGGGUGGAACACCGGUGGCGAAGGCGGCUCACGUGGUCCGGUUCGUCGACGCUGAGGCGCGAAAGCGUGGGGAGCAAACAGG